AAGACCGGUCUUUGUUUAGAGCCAAACCGUUGUUACAAACGAGAUUGUCCAUGAUAACUUUGGCUUCUUUCGUCUUCUUAUCGUAUCUGAUCACUCUUCCCGACCGCUCC
rnacentral:sRNA from 1 species